rnacentral:rRNA from 1 species
UACGUAGGUGGCAAGCGUUGUCCGGAUUUAUUGGGUUUAAAGGGUGCGUAGGCGGUCUAUUAAGUCAGUGCUGAAAUAUCCCGGCUUAACCGGGAGGGUGGCAUUGAUACUGAUGGACUUGAGUAAAGUUGAGGUAGGCGGAAUUGACGGUGUAGCGGUGAAAUGCUUAGAUAUCGUCAAGAACACCGAUAGUGUAGACAGCUUACUAGCUUUAACUGACGCUGAGGCACGAAAGUGUGGGGAUCAAACAGG